GUUUGAUUCUGGCUCAGAUUGAACGGUGGCGGCAGGCCUAACACAUGCAAGUCGAGCGGUAGCACAGAGAGCUUGCUCUCGGGUGACGAGCGGCGGACGGGUGAGUAAUGUCUGGGAAACUGCCUGAUGGAGGCGGAUAACUACUGGAAACGGUAGCUAAUACCGCAUAACGUCGCAAGACCAAAGUGGGGGACCUUCGGGCCUCAUGCCAUCAGAUGUGCCCAGAUGGGAUUAGCUGGUAGGUGGGGUAACGGCUCACCUAGGCGACGAUCCCUAGCUGGUCUGAGAGGAUGACCAGCCACACUGGAACUGAGACACGGUCCAGACUCCUACGGGAGGCAGCAGUGGGGAAUAUUGCACAAUGGGCGCAAGCCUGAUGCAGCCAUGCCGCGUGUGUGAAGAAGGCCUUCGGGUUGUAAAGCACUUUCAGCGGGGAGGAAGGCGGUGAGGUUAAUAACCUCAUCGAUUGACGUUACCCGCAGAAGAAGCACCGGCUAACUCCGUGCCAGCAGCCGCGGUAAUACGGAGGGUGCAAGCGUUAAUCGGAAUUACUGGGCGUAAAGCGCACGCAGGCGGUCUGUCAAGUCGGAUGUGAAAUCCCCGGGCUCAACCUGGGAACUGCAUUCGAAACUGGCAGGCUAGAGUCUUGUAGAGGGGGGUAGAAUUCCAGGUGUAGCGGUGAAAUGCGUAGAGAUCUGGAGGAAUACCGGUGGCGAAGGCGGCCCCCUGGACAAAGACUGACGCUCAGGUGCGAAAGCGUGGGGAGCAAACAGGAUUAGAUACCCUGGUAGUCCACGCUGUAAACGAUGUCGAUUUGGAGGUUGUGCCCUUGAGGCGUGGCUUCCGGAGCUAACGCGUUAAAUCGACCGCCUGGGGAGUACGGCCGCAAGGUUAAAACUCAAAUGAAUUGACGGGGGCCCGCACAAGCGGUGGAGCAUGUGGUUUAAUUCGAUGCAACGCGAAGAACCUUACCUGGUCUUGACAUCCACAGAACUUUCCAGAGAUGGAUUGGUGCCUUCGGGAACUGUGAGACAGGUGCUGCAUGGCUGUCGUCAGCUCGUGUUGUGAAAUGUUGGGUUAAGUCCCGCAACGAGCGCAACCCUUAUCCUUUGUUGCCAGCGGUUCGGCCGGGAACUCAAAGGAGACUGCCAGUGAUAAACUGGAGGAAGGUGGGGAUGACGUCAAGUCAUCAUGGCCCUUACGACCAGGGCUACACACGUGCUACAAUGGCAUAUACAAAGAGAAGCGACCUCGCGAGAGCAAGCGGACCUCAUAAAGUAUGUCGUAGUCCGGAUUGGAGUCUGCAACUCGACUCCAUGAAGUCGGAAUCGCUAGUAAUCGUAGAUCAGAAUGCUACGGUGAAUACGUUCCCGGGCCUUGUACACACCGCCCGUCACACCAUGGGAGUGGGUUGCAAAAGAAGUAGGUAGCUUAACCUUCGGGAGGGCGCUUACCACUUUGUGAUUCAUGACUGGGGUGAAGUCGUAACAAGGUAACCGUA
rnacentral:rRNA from 1 species